rnacentral:rRNA from 1 species
GGGUGACGAGUGGCGGACGGGUGAGUAAUGUCUGGGAAACUGCCUGAUGGAGGGGGAUAACUACUGGAAACGGUAGCUAAUACCGCAUAACGUCGCAAGACCAAAGAGGGGGACCUUCGGGCCUCUUGCCAUCAGAUGUGCCCAGAUGGGAUUAGCUAGUAGGUGGGGUAACGGCUCACCUAGGCGACGAUCCCUAGCUGGUCUGAGAGGAUGACCAGCCACACUGGAACUGAGACACGGUCCAGACUCCUACGGGAGGCAGCAGUGGGGAAUAUUGCACAAUGGGCGCAAGCCUGAUGCAGCCAUGCCGCGUGUAUGAAGAAGGCCUUCGGGUUGUAAAGUACUUUCAGCGGGGAGGAAGGCGAUACGGUUAAUAACCGUGUCGAUUGACGUUACCCGCAGAAGAAGC